rnacentral:rRNA from 1 species
CCUACGGGAGGCAGCAGUAAGGAAUAUUGGUCAAUGGACGCAAGUCUGAACCAGCCAUGCCGCGUGCAGGAUGAAGGCCCUCUGGGUUGUAAACUGCUUUUAUAGGGGACGAAAAAGGGACUUUCUAGUUCAACUGACGGUACCCUAGGAAUAAGCACCGGCUAACUCCGUGCCGGCAGCCGCGGUAAUACGGAGGGUGCAAGCGUUAUCCGGAUUUACUGGGUUUAAAGGGUGCGUAGGUGGGUCGGUAAGUCAGCGGUGAAAUCUUCAAGCUUAACUUGGAAACUGCCAUUGAUACUAUCGAUCUUGAAUCAUCUGGAGGUAAGCGGAAUAUGUCAUGUAGCGGUGAAAUGCUUAGAUAUGACAUAGAACACCAAUUGCGAAGGCAGCUUACUACGGAUGUAUUGACACUGAGGCACGAAAGCGUGGGGAUCAAACAGGAUUAGAUACCCUGGUAGUCCACGCCCCAAACCGAUGGAUACUCGACAUACGUGAUAUACUAUGUGUGUCUGAGCGAAAGCAUUAAGUAUCCCACCUGGAAGUACGAUCGCAAGAUUGAAACUUAAAGGAAUUAGACGG